rnacentral:snRNA from 13 species
AUACUUACCUGGUAGGGGAGACACCAUGAUCAGGCAGGUGGUUUUCCCAGGGCAAGGGUCAUCCCCUCCACUAUUUUUUUUAAGAUCAUGGAGCAGAUCCUCCUG